GAGCGAGGAACUUCGGUUCCUAGCCGGCGGACGGGUGAGUUAACGCGUGGGANCGUGCCCUUUGGUUCGGAAUAGCCCCGGGAAACUGGGAGUAAUACCGGAUAAGCCCUACGGGGGAAAGAUUUAUCGCCAAAGGAUCGGCCCGCGUCUGAUUAGCUAGUUGGUGGGGUAACGGCCUACCAAGGCGACGAUCAGUAGCUGGUCUGAGAGGAUGAUCAGCCACACUGGGACAGAGACACGGCCCAGACUCCUACGGGAGGCAGCAGUGGGGAAUAUUGGACAAUGGGCGCAAGCCUGAUCCAGCCAUGCCGCGUGAGUGAUGAAGGCCUUAGGGUUGUAAAGCUCUUUUGUCCGGGACGAUAAUGACGGUACCGGAAGAGUAAGCCCCGGCUAACUUCGUGCCAGCAGCCGCGGUAAU
rnacentral:rRNA from 1 species